CUGAGACCUGAUGCCGAGCCGAUUGUGGUGAAGUGGAUGAUCCUAUGCUGUCGAGAAAAGCCUCUAGCGAGUUUCAUGGCGGCCCGUACCCCAAACCGACUCAGGUGGUCAGGUAGAGAAUACCGAGGCGUUCGGGUGAACUAUGGUUAAGGAACUCGGCAAAAUGCCCCCGUAACUUCGGGAGAAGGGGGGCCAUUCCUGGUGACGAGUCUUGCACUCCGAGCUGGGGGUGGCCGCAGAGACCAGCGAGAAGCGACUGUUUACUAAAAACACAGGUCCGUGCGAAGCCGUAAGGCGAUGUAUACGGACUGACGCCUGCCCGGUGCUGGAACGUUAAGGGGACCGGUUAGCUUUGAUUCGUCGAGGCGAAGCUGAGAACUUAAGCGCCAGUAAACGGCGGUGGUAACUAUAACCAUCCUAAGGUAGCGAAAUUCCUUGUCGGGUAAGUUCCGACCUGCACGAAUGGCGUAACGACUUCUCGACUGUCUCAACCAUAGGCCCGGUGAAAUUGCAUUACGAGUAAAGAUGCUCGUUUCGCGCAGCAGGACGGAAAGACCCCGGGACCUUUACUAUAGCUUGAUAUUGGUGUUCGGUUCGGCUUGUGUAGGAUAGGUGGGAGACUGUGAAAGCCCAACGCCAGUUGGGUGGGAGUCGUCGUUGAAAUACCACUCUGGUCGUGCUGGAUGUCUAACCUGGGUCCGUGAUCCGGAUCAGGGACAGUGUCUGGUGGGUAGUUUAACUGGGGCGGUUGCCUCCUAAAGGGUAACGGAGGCGCCCAAAGGUUCCCUCAGCCUGGUUGGCAAUCAGGUGUUGAGUGUAAGUGCACAAGGGAGCUUGACUGUGAGACUGACGGGUCGAGCAGGUACGAAAGUAGGGACUAGUGAUCCGGCGGUGGCUUGUGGAAGCGCCGUCGCUCAACGGAUAAAAGGUACCCCGGGGAUAACAGGCUGAUCUUCCCCAAGAGUCCAUAUCGACGGGAUGGUUUGGCACCUCGAUGUCGGCUCGUCGCAUCCUGGGGCUGGAGUAGGUCCCAAGGGUUGGGCUGUUCGCCCAUUAAAGCGGUACGCGAGCUGGGUUUAGAACGUCGUGAGACAGUUCGGUCCCUAUCCGCUGUGCGCGUAGGAGUGUUGAGAAGGGCUGUCCCUAGUACGAGAGGACCGGGACGGACGAACCUCUGGUGUGCCAGUUGUUCUGCCAAGGGCAUGGCUGGUUGGCUACGUUCGGGAGGGAUAACCGCUGAAAGCAUCUAAGCGGGAAGCCUGCUUCGAGAUGAGCACUCCCACCUCCUUGAGAGGGUAAGGCUCCCAGUAGACGACUGGGUUGAUAGGCCGGGUAUGGAAGCCCUGUGAGGGGUGGAGUUGACCGGUACUAAUAGGCCGAGGGCUUGUCCUCAG
rnacentral:rRNA from 1 species